ACAUAUGGAAGAGAAACAGGUCCUUGUUUUUGCGAAACCGAUUCGCAGGAGCAAGGUUAAAAGGGAAGUUUGGUGAAAAGCCAACGCGGUCCCGCCACUGUAAGAGAGUAGCUAUUCUUCAAGGCAUCAUGCCAUCCACUGCCCAUCCGGGAGCGGGAAGGAGAAGAAGAGUGAUGAUCCUCAAGCCAGGAGACCUGCCUGUUUUAUGUUUACACU
rnacentral:ncRNA from 2 species